GCGGCUUAAUUUGACUCAACGCGGGGUAAUUUACCAGGUAUAACAUGGUAUAAUAUUUUAUCAUGAUAGUGGUGCAUGGCCGUUUCCAAUGGAUGCUGUGAAGUAAUGAUUAAUUUCGACAAGAUGUGAGACCCUCAUUUAGACAGAUGUAGUGAUACAUAUGAAGGAGAGGAUUAAAACAGGUCCGUUAUGCCCUAAGAUAAUCUGGGUUGCACGCGCAAUACAAUAAUAUUUGAUAUUAUAAGGGAUAAUAUAAUGUAAGAUAUAUUUGAACAUGGAAUUGCUAGUAAAUUUUAUUUAAUAAGUAGAAUUGAAUGAGUCCCUGUUCUUUGUACACACCGCCCGUCGCUAUCUAAGAUGGUAUUAUCUAUGAACAAAUUUAUAAAGUGAAUAGAUAGUACUAGAUCUGAUAUAAGUCGUAACAUGGUUGCUGUUGGAGAACCAUUAGCAGGAUCAUAA
rnacentral:rRNA from 1 species